UAGGGAAUCUUCGGCAAUGGACGGAAGUCUGACCGAGCAACGCCGCGUGAGUGAAGAAGGUUUUCGGAUCGUAAAGCUCUGUUGUUAGAGAAGAACGUUGGUAGGAGUGGAAAAUCUACCAAGUGACGGUAACUAACCAGAAAGGGACGGCUAACUACGUGCCAGCAGCCGCGGUAAUACGUAGGUCCCGAGCGUUGUCCGGAUUUAUUGGGCGUAAAGCGAGCGCAGGCGGUUCUUUAAGUCUGAAGUUAAAGGCAGUGGCUUAACCAUUGUACGCUUUGGAAACGGGAGGACUUGAGUGCAGAAGGGGAGAGUGGAAUUCCAUGUGUAGCGGUGAAAUGCGUAGAUAUAUGGAGGAACCCCGGUGGCGAAAGCGGCUCUCUGGUCUGUAACUGACGCUGAGGCUCGAAAGCGUGGGGAGCAAACAGG
rnacentral:rRNA from 1 species